AGCUCCAAUAGCGUAUAUUAAAGUUGCUGCAGUUAAAAAGCUCGUAGUUGGAUUUGUGGGAUGGCCGUCCGGCGGGGGGCCAUUUAUUGGUCCCGUUUGUCCUGGUUUUCGGCCUUCCCUUUCUCGGGUCUAGCGUAUUGGCUGGCAUUAGGUUGUCGGCCGCUUCGCGCCCGUCGUUUACUGUGAAAAAAUUAGAGUGUUCAAAGCAGGCAUUCAUCGUGCCCGAAUACAUGAGCAUGGAAUAAUGGAACAGGACUACGGUCAUUGCACUUUUUCCGUUGGUUUCGGAGGACCGAAGUAAUGAUUAAGAGGGACAGUUGGGGGCAUCCGUAUUUCGUAGUCAGAGGUGAAAUUCUUGGAUCUGCGAAAGACGAACGAGUGCGAAAGCAUUUGCCAAGAA
rnacentral:rRNA from 1 species